rnacentral:rRNA from 1 species
UACGUAGGGGGCAAGCGUUGUCCGGAUUCAUUGGGCGUAAAGAGCGUGUAGGCGGCCAGGUAGGUCCGCUGUGAAAACUCGAGGCUCAACCUCGAGAUGUCGGCGGAAACCAUCUGGCUAGAGUCCGGAAGAGGAGAGUGGAAUUCCCGGUGUAGCGGUGAAAUGCGCAGAUAUCAGGAAGAACACCCGUGGCGAAAGCGGCUCUCUGGAACGGUACUGACGCUGAGACGCGAAAGCGUGGGGAGCGAACAGG